rnacentral:piRNA from 1 species
UAUCAGUUGGACUGGCAAAAGUUUUAGC